UACGUAGGGAGCAAGCGUUGUCCGGAAUCAUUGGGCGUAAAGCGCGCGUAGGUGGCUUCGUAAGUCCGUUGUGAAAGUCAAAAGGCUCAACCUUUUGAAAGCCGAUGGAUACUGCGGAGCUAGAGUACGGAAGAGGCGAGUGGAAUUCCUGGUGUAGCGGUGGAAUGCGCAGAUAUCAGGAGGAACACCAAUAGCGAAGGCAGCUCGCUGGGACGUUACUGACACUGAGGCGCGAAAAGCGUGGGGGAGCGAACAGG
rnacentral:rRNA from 1 species